rnacentral:tRNA from 9 species
GGAGAGAUGGCAGAGUUCGGUUGAAUGCACCUGACUUGAAAUCAGGCGUGGGCUCGCGCCCACCGGGGGUUCGAAUCCCUCUCUCUCCGCCA